rnacentral:rRNA from 1 species
AGAGUUUGAUCCUGGCUCAGAAUCAACGCUGGCGGCGUGCCUAACACAUGCAAGUCGAACGCGAAAGGGGGCAACCCUGAGUAGAGUGGCGUCCGGGUGAGUAACACGUGGAUAAUCUACCUUCAGAUGGGGAAUAACUUUCCGAAAGGGGAGCUAAUACCGCAUAACAUCUCGGAGAGGUAUCUUUCUGAGAUCAAAGUGUGGGACCGCAAGGCCACACGUCAGAAGAGGAGUCCGCGGCCGAUUAGCUAGUUGGCGGGGUAAUGGCCCACCAAGGCGACGAUCGGUAGCCGGCCUGAGAGGGUGGUCGGCCACACUGGCACUGAAACACGGGCCAGACUCCUACGGGAGGCAGCAGUGGGGAAUUUUGGGCAAUGGCCGCAAGGCUGACCCAGCAACGCCGCGUGAGGGAUGAAAUCUUUCGGGAUGUAAACCUCAUAAAUAAGGGAAGAAUAAACGUGUUUUAAUAAAGCACGAUAUGACGGUACCUUAUGUAAGCCCCGGCUAACUCCGUGCCAGCAGCCGCGGUA